AUUGAACGCUGGCGGCAGGCCUAACACAUGCAAGUCGAGCGGAGCGGCGGACGGGCGGGUGAUGCCUAGGAAUCUGCCUGGUUGUGGGGGAUAGCGUCCGGAAACGGGCGCUAAUACCGCAUACUUUCAGUUGAGCCUAGGUCGGAUUAGCUAGUUGGUGGGGUAAAGGCCUACCAAGGCGACGAUCCGUAACUGGUCUGAGAGGAUGAUCAGUCACACUGGAACUGAGACACGGUCCAGACUCCUACGGGAGGCAGCAGUGGGGAAUAUUGGACAAUGGGCGAAAGCCUGAUGCAGCCAUGCCGCGUGUGUGAAGAAGGUCUUCGGAUUGUAAAGCACUUUAAGUUGGGAGGCGUUACCAACAGAAGAAGCACCGGCUAACUUCGUGCCAGCAGCCGCGGUAAUUC
rnacentral:rRNA from 1 species